UGCCCCUUGGCAAAAAUAAGUCGCAACUGGAUUGACCUAGUAGCUCCUUUUGAGCGAAAAGCCGAUAGACUAAAUAAGAA
rnacentral:sRNA from 12 species